UACAGAGGCCUCGAGCGUUAGGCGGAAUCACUGGGCUUAAAGCGUGUGUAGGCGGACUUCUAAGUACCUUGUGAAAUCCCACGGCUCACCCGUGGAACUGCUGGGUAUACUGGUCGUCUUGAGCCUUCUAGGGGCUACCGGAACAAAUGGUGGAGCGGUGAAAUGCGUAGAUAUCAUUUGGAACGCCAAUGGUGAAAACAGGUAGCUGGGGAAGUGCUGACGCUGAGACACGAAAGCCAGGGGAGCGAACGGGG
rnacentral:rRNA from 1 species